CGGCUGCAGCGUCUUCCCCGCGCUCCCGAGCCUAUCCCUCGGGCGCCGGCCUGGGCUGUCCAGCGAGAGGGGCGGAGGGGCAGGGCCCCGGGCUAGGUCCAGGCCCGCAGCUGGCAUCAGGGGGGGCCUGGGUGGGAAGACCGGUUGGGGUGGGGGUGCACAGACCCGGGGAAUCUGAGACGCAAGGUUUCCGGCUCUUGGCCGCUAGUGAGGAAGGCUCGAGGCCGAUCCUGGCCCAAAGCAGGGCGCCGGGCCAUUGUCAGUCCUGGGAAGGGGGAUUGGGAGGAGCCCCAGAGGGGCGGCCAUUCCCUGGGGCGGCGUGGAAGGGAGGCAGCACCUCCAGGCGACAAGUAGAGCUGGGCCCUGGCGGGCUGCCACGGGGGUGUCUGGCAGUCUCUCCUGGGUCUAGGGCUGUUCCUCUGAGGUCACGAGGUGGUCCUUCGGGUGUGUCUGGGGUAAGCCCCUCUAGAAUCUGGGGGCGGCCUCCCGGGGGCCAUACUGCAUCACGUAGUGGAGUUGGGAAGAUAAAACCAGCACGUGUAAUGUAAUACAUGACAAUGGAAGAUUCUACGUAAUUAAGGGUUAACUCUGAAAUCAGAAGACAAGUUUUCCAAGACUUGGGAAGGUGGAGAGAUCAGAGAUCAGUGAGAGAACAAAGAAUCGGAUGGAGUUUGGCUCUUGUCGCCCAGGCUGGAGUGCAAUG
rnacentral:lncRNA from 1 species